rfam:Aedes albopictus isolate Foshan contig70892, whole genome shotgun sequence.
GGCUCCGUAGCUUGAAGGAAAGAAGCACCUGUCUAGCGAAUUGGAAGUCAUGGGUUCGAUUCCCACCGGAGCAC